UGCCCCUUCUUAUCACUCUUUUCCUCCUUUGUCUCUGUCACCCGCCCACCUCUCCCACGUGGAACUGCAUUGAUUGGACUGGUGUGGUCUGUCCAGAUGUGAGCCGCUGUUCUAUCACAACACUUAGAUCACAACAAAGCAAAUCAUUCUAAUGGAUGUAAGGGCAAAACUCACCAACAGAACCUGUGACGAUUUCCUCUACUCUGUUUAGGAAUUUGGGACUCUGGCAAGACAUUGAGUAGAAACACUGAAUUAUGAGGCCUCAGAGACGCCGCAUCGUUUCAAAUGGGAAAGAAAAAACUUGUUUCCAAGCAAGGAAAAAUAACGCAUUCACUGUUAAUGUCAUCAUCUUUCUGGCUUUGCAUCCCUUUCCCAAGUGACUCAACAAUGCCUUCACUCUAAUCUUGCAGCGCUAGGCAGCCACACCCCACCUCAGCUUCCUGAGCACCCCACUGGAGAGUUCCCCGUGCCAGGCUACCUGGGGCUGCCAUCAGUCUGGGACUGCCUGAGCUGUUUUUCUCUUUAGUGUUUUAAUAGCACACCAUGGUUUCCUCGGUGACACAACAGACCUGGAACCAAUAAACUCCCUUCUGAGUAAUGU
rnacentral:lncRNA from 1 species